AGAUUAAGUUAUUAAGGGCGCACGGUGGAUGCCUUGGCACUAGAAGCCGAUGAAGGACGUUACUAACGACGAUAUGCUUUGGGGAGCUGUAAGUAAGCUUUGAUCCAGAGAUUUCCGAAUGGGGAAACCCAGCAUGAGUUAUGUCAUGUUAUCGAUAUGUGAAUACAUAGCAUAUCAGAAGGCACACCCGGAGAACUGAAACAUCUUAGUACCCGGAGGAAGAGAAAGAAAAUUCGAUUCCCUUAGUAGCGGCGAGCGAAACGGGAAGAGCCCAAACCAACAAGCUUGCUUGUUGGGGUUGUAGGACACUCUAUACGGAGUUACAAAGGACGACAUUAGACGAAUCAUCUGGAAAGAUGAAUCAAAGAAGGUAAUAAUCCUGUAGUCGAAAAUGUUGUCUCUCUUGAGUGGAUCCUGAGUACGACGGAGCACGUGAAAUUCCGUCGGAAUCUGGGAGGACCAUCUCCUAAGGCUAAAUACUCUCUAGUGACCGAUAGUGAACCAGUACCGUGAGGGAAAGGUGAAAAGCACCCCGGAAGGGGAGUGAAAUAGAACCUGAAACCGUGUGCUUACAAGUAGUCAGAGCCCGUUAAUGGGUGAUGGCGUGCCUUUUGUAGAAUGAACCGGCGAGUUACGAUUUGAUGCAAGGUUAAGCAGUAAAUGUGGAGCCGUAGCGAAAGCGAGUCUGAAUAGGGCGUUUAGUAUUUGGUCGUAGACCCGAAACCAGGUGAUCUACCCUUGGUCAGGUUGAAGUUCAGGUAACACUGAAUGGAGGACCGAACCGACUUACGUUGAAAAGUGAGCGGAUGAACUGAGGGUAGCGGAGAAAUUCCAAUCGAACCUGGAGAUAGCUGGUUCUCUCCGAAAUAGCUUUAGGGCUAGCCUCAAGUGAUGAUUAUUGGAGGUAGAGCACUGUUUGGACGAGGGGCCCCUCUCGGGUUACCGAAUUCAGACAAACUCCGAAUGCCAAUUAAUUUAACUUGGGAGUCAGAACAUGGGUGAUAAGGUCCGUGUUCGAAAGGGAAACAGCCCAGACCACCAGCUAAGGUCCCAAAAUAUAUGUUAAGUGGAAAAGGAUGUGGCGUUGCCCAGACAACUAGGAUGUUGGCUUAGAAGCAGCCAUCAUUUAAAGAGUGCGUAAUAGCUCACUAGUCGAGUGACACUGCGCCGAAAAUGUACCGGGGCUAAACAUAUUACCGAAGCUGUGGAUUGUCCUUUGGACAAUGGUAGGAGAGCGUUCUAAGGGCGUUGAAGCAUGAUCGUAAGGACAUGUGGAGCGCUUAGAAGUGAGAAUGCCGGUGUGAGUAGCGAAAGACGGGUGAGAAUCCCGUCCACCGAUUGACUAAGGUUUCCAGAGGAAGGCUCGUCCGCUCUGGGUUAGUCGGGUCCUAAGCUGAGGCCGACAGGCGUAGGCGAUGGAUAACAGGUUGAUAUUCCUGUACCACCUAUAAUCGUUUUAAUCGAUGGGGGGACGCAGUAGGAUAGGCGAAGCGUGCGAUUGGAUUGCACGUCUAAGCAGUAAGGCUGAGUAUUAGGCAAAUCCGGUACUCGUUAAGGCUGAGCUGUGAUGGGGAGAAGACAUUGUGUCUUCGAGUCGUUGAUUUCACACUGCCGAGAAAAGCCUCUAGAUAGAAAAUAGGUGCCCGUACCGCAAACCGACACAGGUAGUCAAGAUGAGAAUUCUAAGGUGAGCGAGCGAACUCUCGUUAAGGAACUCGGCAAAAUGACCCCGUAACUUCGGGAGAAGGGGUGCUCUUUAGGGUUAACGCCCAGAAGAGCCGCAGUGAAUAGGCCCAAGCGACUGUUUAUCAAAAACACAGGUCUCUGCUAAACCGUAAGGUGAUGUAUAGGGGCUGACGCCUGCCCGGUGCUGGAAGGUUAAGAGGAGUGGUUAGCUUCUGCGAAGCUACGAAUCGAAGCCCCAGUAAACGGCGGCCGUAACUAUAACGGUCCUAAGGUAGCGAAAUUCCUUGUCGGGUAAGUUCCGACCCGCACGAAAGGCGUAACGAUUUGGGCACUGUCUCAACGAGAGACUCGGUGAAAUCAUAGUACCUGUGAAGAUGCAGGUUACCCGCGACAGGACGGAAAGACCCCGUGGAGCUUUACUGUAGCCUGAUAUUGAAAUUCGGCACAGCUUGUACAGGAUAGGUAGGAGCCUUUGAAACGUGAGCGCUAGCUUACGUGGAGGCGCUGGUGGGAUACUACCCUAGCUGUGUUGGCUUUCUAACCCGCACCACUUAUCGUGGUGGGAGACAGUGUCAGGCGGGCAGUUUGACUGGGGCGGUCGCCUCCUAAAAGGUAACGGAGGCGCUCAAAGGUUCCCUCAGAAUGGUUGGAAAUCAUUCAUAGAGUGUAAAGGCAUAAGGGAGCUUGACUGCGAGACCUACAAGUCGAGCAGGGUCGAAAGACGGACUUAGUGAUCCGGUGGUUCCGCAUGGAAGGGCCAUCGCUCAACGGAUAAAAGCUACCCCGGGGAUAACAGGCUUAUCUCCCCCAAGAGUUCACAUCGACGGGGAGGUUUGGCACCUCGAUGUCGGCUCAUCGCAUCCUGGGGCUGUAGUCGGUCCCAAGGGUUGGGCUGUUCGCCCAUUAAAGCGGUACGCGAGCUGGGUUCAGAACGUCGUGAGACAGUUCGGUCCCUAUCCGUCGUGGGCGUAGGAAAUUUGAGAGGAGCUGUCCUUAGUACGAGAGGACCGGGAUGGACAUACCUCUGGUGUACCAGUUGUCGUGCCAACGGCAUAGCUGGGUAGCUAUGUGUGGACGGGAUAAGUGCUGAAAGCAUCUAAGCAUGAAGCCCCCCUCAAGAUGAGAUUUCCCAACUUCGGUUAUAAGAUCCCUCAAAGAUGAUGAGGUUAAUAGGUUCGAGGUGGAAGCAUGGUGACAUGUGGAGCUGACGAAUACUAAUCGAUCGAAGACUUAAUCAAA
rnacentral:rRNA from 1 species